UACGUAGGGUGCAAGCGUUAAUCGGAAUUACUGGGCGUAAAGUGUGCGCAGGCGGCCGAGCAAGUCGAGUGUGAAAGCCCCGAGCUUAACUUGGGAACUGCGCUCGAAACUACUUGGCUGGAGUGUGGCAGAGGAAGGUGGAAUUCCACGUGUAGCGGUGAAAUGCGUAGAGAUGUGGAGGAACACCGGAUGGCGAAGGCAGCCUUCUGGGCCAACACUGACGCUCGAUGCACGAAAGCGUGGGGAGCAAACAGG
rnacentral:rRNA from 1 species